rnacentral:rRNA from 1 species
GUUAAUCGGAAUUACUGGGCGUAAAGCGCACGCAGGCGGUUUGUUAAGUCAGAUGUGAAAUCCCCGGGCUCAACCUGGGAACUGCAUCUGAUACUGGCAAGCUUGAGUCUCGUAGAGGGGGGUAGAAUUCCAGGUGUAGCGGUGAAAUGCGUAGAGAUCUGGAGGAAUACCGGUGGCGAAGGCGGCCCCCUGGACGAAGACUGACGCUCAGGUGCGAAAGCGUGGGGAGCAAACAGGAUUAGAUACCCUGGUAGUCCACGCCGUAAACGAUGUCGACUUGGAGGUUGUGGCUUCCGGAGCUAACGCGUUAAGUCGACCGCCUGGGGAGUACGGCCGCAAGGUUAAAACUCAAAUGAAUUGACGGGGGCCCGCACAAGCGGUGGAGCAUGUGGUUUAAUUCGAUGCAACGCGAAGAACCUUACCUGGUCUUGACAUCCAGGUGCUGCAUGGCUGUCGUCAGCUCGUGUUGUGAAAUGUUGGGUUAAGUCCCGCAACGAGCGCAACCCUUAUCCUUUGUUGCAACUCAAAGGAGACUGCCAGUGAUAAACUGGAGGAAGGUGGGGAUGACGUCAAGUCAUCAUGGCCCUU